ensembl:snRNA U6 U6 spliceosomal RNA
AUGCUCACUUCGACAGCAUAUAUACUAAAAUUGGAAAGAUAUAGAGGAGGUUAGCAUGGCCCCUUCGCAAGGACGACACAAAAAUUUGUGAAGUGUUCCAUAUUUAA